AGCGAACGCUGGCGGCAGGCUUAACACAUGCAAGUCGAACGCCCCUUUCGGGGGGAGUGGCAGACGGGUGAGUAACGCGUGGGAACGUGCCCAUCGGUUCGGGAUAACCCAGGGAAACUUGGGCUAAUACCGGAUACGACCGGGAGGUGAAAGAACUUCGCCGAUGGCUCGGCCCGCGUCUGAUUAGCUGGUUGGUAGGGUAACGGCCUACCAAGGCGACGAUCAGUAGCUGGUCUGAGAGGAUGAUCAGCCACACUGGGACUGAGACACGGCCCAGACUCCUACGGGAGGCAGCAGUGGGGAAUAUUGGACAAUGGGCGCAAGCCUGAUCCAGCCAUGCCGCGUGAGUGAUGAAGGCCCUAGGGUUGUAAAGCUCUUUCGCACGCGACGAUAAUGACGGUAGCGUGAGAAGAAGCCCCGGCUAACUUCGUGCCAGCCGCCGCCGUAAUAC
rnacentral:rRNA from 1 species